CAUGGAUGCGGAUGCCUUGCAGGGACAGUGGAAAAUGCCUUCAGAAUGCACCUGACCGAGCGGUGCGUGAACUCUACUUCCUGUAACAGUCAUCAGUGGCUGCAGGACAUGACAGCGGAUGCCAG